AUCCUCUUGACUUAAUGGUAGAGUACGAAACUUCUAAUUUCUUUGUUUAGGUUCAAAUCCUAAAGAGGAUA
rnacentral:tRNA from 1 species